rnacentral:lncRNA from 1 species
AUUUUUAUUCUUCUACAACAGAAUCAGGAUUAUAUAUACAGAUGUAAUCAGAUGCAAUACGUUGACCAAGUAAGUAUCCAAUCAUUUGGGAAAAUGUCAAAUCAUGUGACUAGUAUAGAAACCCAGAAACCAGAAUGUAGUGGCAAACAGAAAAGCAAUCAUCGUAUUUCAGGGUGGCAAGCAUCAUAACAGAAAAGUAAAGAGCCAUGACUAUCAUACAGAUAUUAUCAGUGUGUUCAUAAGUUUGCAAGAUUUUACAAAUAAAGCAUUUUCUUAUUAGUAGGAGUCAAUUACAUGAAUUAACCAACACUUGUAUCAUGUAUGAAGUUUACAGAUAGACGAUUAACCUCUAAUCUCCCUGAAUUAUUUAGCCUAUAGAUUUUUAGUCUCUCUAUAGACCUCUAAAUAUUUGAUUAUCAUGCAUUUGGUCAACCCUCUGCACAAGUGUUGCAUUGAUUAUUUACCAAACAUGCCCAAAUCACCUAAGACGAGACUCUACCAUCUUCUUUUACAAUAGGAGCUACCCUAGUUUUCAUUAAAAUGAUUGUAUUCCUAAUCCUAUCAUGUUUUGAGUAAUAUUCUUCUGCUAUGCAGGGCUUCCUUGUUAGCUCUUUACUGCUCAAUAUUCAUACUCAUACAUACUCAUGCCACAUUACAAUUUUUCUGUCACUAAUUACACUCAAACAUGCCUCCAUCUCAUUAACCCUACUUGGGUCUUCUAGUCUCCUAUCUCCGAACAUUUUGUAUGAUAGGUCCAAGGUACUUAAAACAUGAUAUUUGUGGUACUUUAUGCUAAAACUUUUCUAAUAAUUCUUGUGGGAUGCAAUCAAUCAUGGAUUUUUUGUUUGCCGAAAAACAGGCUAAUGUUUGAAUCCAUUUGAUGGUACUUAGGCUUGCUAAUUAAGUGAUCAAUUUAAAAUAAACUGUGGGAACCUAAUAUUGGUCUGUGUGGACAACAGCGAAGGCUUUAACCUUCAGGCACAUGAUGGGAGGUGCUAAGGUAAUACUUGCCUAAAUCCCUUCUGCUAUCACAUGGUUAUCAUCACGCUCCAUAGCUUACCCCAUUGAGAGUUGUCAUACGAGAUUGAGUGAACAGGCAGGGAAGGCUUUGUCUUUCUUAUUUUAGGAACCAGAGAUCUCAGAGGUUUGCUCCGAACAAAGAUUGAUCAUGUCUUCAUCAAGUAAGAUCAGUGCACUAAAUUCGUAUAAUAUGGUCAUGUUUAUUCUUACAUUGUAUACUCUCCAAAUAUUCAUUCUAAGCUACAGUUUGUGUAUCACUAACUAAAUUUUAAUUUUAUAUUAAUCCAUCUAGUUAGCCUGUUGUCGUAUGUUUCCAGUACUUGUCACCUAAUCUUUAAAAUUUUAUUUAUCGCUUCUCACGACUCUUCAACAAGAACAAUCUCAUUUCCAACAAGCAUUCCCUGUGAACCUGUGACAACCUCUCUAGCCUAUGUUCAGUAAACAAAUCCAGAACCUAUAGAAAAAUAAGGGCUCAAAACUGACCCUUAAUUCACACCUUUAGUUAUUGGGAAGUCUUCAACAUUCCCACCUAGUGUUGUAACACUAGCUGUGCCCCUCUCAUACAUUAUAUUAUUCCCUUUCUACAUCAAUAAAAGCCAUGUAUAAGUUUAAUUAAUCCCAUCUACAUCUCACCAUCAAUUUUCGUAACAGAUAUAUAGCUUCAUUGUUGAUCUACCGGGGAUAAAACUAAAUAGAUUUAUGUGAUGUUGGUGUCCUCUUAAUUUAUUCUCAAUCUACCAAAGUUCCACAGGUGACUCAUGAGCUCCAUCAUCUAUAGGUUGCACAGUUUUGUAUGUCCUCUCUGUUCUUAAAAAAAGAGAUUAAAUACUUCUCCUUCAUUUAUUUCUGAUGUUGGAGUAGACCUAGAAAAACUAUAAGGCUGUGUUUGGG